UGGAUCGAUGAUGAGUCCCCUAUAAAAACAUUCCUUGGAAAAGCUGAACAAAAUGAGUGAGAACUCAUAACGUCAUUCUCAUCGGAACUGAGGUCCA
rnacentral:snoRNA from 1 species